rfam:Pristionchus pacificus strain PS312 contig4943, whole genome shotgun sequence.
UCUUCAUUUCACGCGCUCUCUCGCAGGUCAGAGAGGCGAGAGAGUGUGUGAAAUGAAGAGA